rnacentral:rRNA from 1 species
UACGGGGGGGGCAAGCGUUGUUCGGAAUUACUGGGCGUAAAGGGCUUGUAGGUGGCCAACUAAGUCAGACGUGAAAUCCCCCGGCUUAACCGGGGAACUGCGUCUGAUACUGGAUGGCUAGAGAUUGGGAGAGGGACGCGGAAUUCCACGUGUAGCAGUGAAAUGCGUAGAGAUGUGGAGGAACACCGAUGGCGAAGGCAGCCCCCUGGGUUAACACUGACGCUCAGGCACGAAAGCGUGGGGAGCAGACAGG